GAGAUAUUGCUCUAUGAAGUAAUUCUGUAAUAUUUCUAGGAAAAAAGGUUUGCCAUUUCUUGAAAUGCAUAAAACGGUUUUAAAUUGGUUUUUACUUAUUAAUGGGCUCUGCAAAAAUCAGGACCACACGGUAAUGGAACUUACCUGAUUGAUGGAGCCUUUUUUGCCCCAAUCUUAUUUUGGUUGGCAGCAGCUUUGCUUUUG
rnacentral:misc_RNA from 1 species